GGCGGGGCUGUAUUGUGACGCCGUGUAAUCGUCUCAAGACAUGCGGUGGGAUUGCUGCAUGAAUCCAAUGAGCAAAUACAGAUAGCAUGUAGAAAAACACACACGGGGUGCUGCCUAUGCAAACCUCAUUAUCUUUUGACUGCGGAGACUUCUUCUUCUUAUGCAAGUUUUCCAGAGACAGGACACUCAGGUGAACUCGGACUCCCUGAAGCAGUAGCUGCACAUAAAUGCGUGGCUUCCGAAAACUCGCCGCGCAGUCCCGGUAGCACGAAGCAAAGCCGAGCCCUGCCGAGGGCGUUAGAGCCGCGCAUUGCAGGGGCUAUGGAUUCAAAUCUCUCCGCGGUCAAGGCGGGCUUGUGAGUCUUCCCAACCAUGGCUGUACCAGGGAUCGCAGUAUCAGCACCCCUUCGUUGCCGUCCACACAGAUUAAAAGCUGCAUGCUGCAUUGAGAACUGAGAGAGACUCCCUGACUGCCCUGUGCUGAUAACAGCGAUUAUAAGAUGUCUAUGCCUCCUCACACAACUGGUCUGAUUAACCCACCUCGGUGCCCCAAUUUACAAACUCCCCAACGGUGAUUGUAAUGGUAGGUCUACCAGCGAGAGGAAAGACCUACAUCUCCAAGAAACUGACGCGAUACCUCAACUGGAUUGGGGUGCCCACCAAAGUGUUUAAUGUGGGCCAGUAUCGACGGGAUGCUGUGAAGAGCUACAAGAACUUUGAGUUCUUCAGACCCGACAAUGAGGAGGCUAUGAAGAUACGCAAGGCGUGUGCUGUCACAGCACUCCAUGAUGUCAAUGCCUACCUUACACAGGAGCAAGGACAAGUCGCGGUUUUUGAUGCCACUAACACUACAAGAGACCGCAGGGAGCUGAUCCUCAGCUUCGCCAAAGAAAACGGCUACAAGGUGUUUUUUGUGGAGUCCAUUUGUGAUGAUCCUGAUAUUAUUGCUGCAAAUAUAACGCAAGUGAAGCUAACAAGCCCUGACUAUGAAGACUGUGACAGGGAGGAAGCCUUGGAAGACUUCCUCAAGAGAAUCGAGUGCUAUAAAACCAACUACCUCCCUCUGGACGACGAGCAAGACAGGAGCCUGUCCUACAUUAAGAUUUUCAACGUAGGCAGCCGCUACCUAGUGAACCACGUGCUGGACCACAUCCAGAGCCGCAUCGUGUACUACCUGAUGAACAUCCACGUGACCCCGCGCUCCAUCUACCUGUGCCGGCACGGGGAGAGCGAGCUCAACUUGAUGGGGCGCAUUGGGGGCGACUCCGGUCUCUCCGCGCACGGGAGCAAGUUUGCCCGUGCCCUGGCUUCAUUCAUCCAGGAGCAGUCCAUCAAGGACCUGAAGGUGUGGACCAGUCAUAUGAAGAGGACAAUCCAGACUGCAGAGGCUCUGGGGGUCCCAUACGAGCAGUGGAAAGCACUCAAUGAGAUUGAUGCAGGUGUGUGUGAAGAGAUGAUGUACGAGGAGAUCCAGCAGCAUUACCCUGAAGAGUUCGCUCUGAGAGACCAGGACAAGUACCGAUACCGCUACCCGAAGGGAGAGUCGUAUGAGGACUUGGUGCAGAGGCUGGAGCCUGUGAUAAUGGAGCUGGAGCGCCAGGAGAAUGUUCUCGUGAUCUGCCAUCAGGCCGUCAUGAGGUGUCUGCUGGCCUACUUCCUGGAUAAGAGUGCAGAAGAGCUUCCUUAUCUUAAUUGCCCCCUUCACAGUGUUCUGAAACUCACUCCAGUGGCUUACGGUUGUGAGGUGGAAUCCAUAUUCCUAAACGUUGAAGCUGUAAAUACCCAUAGAGAUAAACCAGUGCCUCAAUCUCUGUUCCAUCCUCCUCGACUCACUGCCUUUUCUCCCGUUCCCUUUCGUGUUCCACUCUUCUCACUCUCACAUAUUCCCGUAGGUCUUGUUUCUUUUUACACUACUUAUUGUAUCUUUAUUGUCCUUGUAGUUUCUUUCCUCAUCUCCCCAUCCUCUCUGAUCUCUCUGUAUGCUGUCCGUCUCCCCCAUCCUCUCUGAUCUCCCUGUAUGCUGUCCAUCUCCCCCAUCCUCUCUGAUCUCUCUGUAUGCUGUCCAUCUCCCCCAUCCUCUCUGAUCUCCCUGUAUGCUGUCCAUCUCCCCCAUCCUCUCUGAUCUCCCUGUAUGCUGUCCUUUUCCUCCAUCCCCCCCCCAUUUCUGGUCAGAGCGAUGCCCCCCUCUACUGCCACCCCUGAGCAGUACCCCUUUCCAGCCCUCCACCAACCAGACCUCCUAAACUAAAGGACCUGGGGAGGCAGGCUCCACCCUGAAGAAUGUAGAUGUGUCUCGUGAAUCAGAAGAGGCCUUGGAUACAGUCCCUGCACAUGUAUGAGAAGACUGAGCAAGGGAGCCAGUGAAUGUCUGAACACCUGAACAUCUCGCCCUUCAUCUGCAGAAUUAUUUCUCAUAGCCAUGCUGGCCACUGUACCCUGGUAUCUUUAAAACUAUUAACUGUUGUAUACUGUCAUUCAUUUGUACACAACGUUGUGUGAAAGAAAAGUGGACAAUUACCAAUGAGAAAAUAAGCCAGGUCUUGUUGAGAUUUGGGCAGUCAUCUUCAAACCAGAAGUCACUUGGAACACAGCCAGUGUGGUCCUCAGGAUGUUUAGUACUGUGGUGCACAAACUGGAACUCGCUUAUAUACACAGAUAACAUGUGCAGGAAAUGUUUUUCAGUGCGAGAGGUAUUAUUGCUGUAACAAUGUAUAAACCAUUUUAAUGAAAGUUUUAUUGUUAACCAUUUCAGGAAGGAUGCCCUGAACAAACUUGUUCUCAUCCCCGCCACGGCUUUGAAUGAAAUAUUAGAGGCAUCUCAUGAAAACGCACAAAAACGCAGCCGAUAGCCACAACAUACAGUUUGCCAUGCUGUCCGAUUUCUGAGGCUCUCAAUAACUUGUGCUUGUGACAGUUUCGUCGUAACUGAAAACGUGCUUCACGAGAUACAAGUGUAAUCGCAACGGGACACAAGACCUGUGACCCUCCAGGCUUCAUGGUAAAUCAGAAUGGCUAUUUCAAGUUUCAUUACAAUGGAAAUGUGGCUAUAUAGAUACAGUAGAACUGAAGAAUAUUCACAAGUGAGGGGAAGCCAUUUGGCCUAUCUAAGCCGCCCGAUCUAGUCGCUGUUUAAGUUCAAAACGUCGUCAAGUCAGAUCUUAAAGGAUCACGGUGAUUCUGCCUCAGCGGCAUGGCUUGGUAACAUAUCUUGCUUACGUCUCCACUUCAUUUCCAGCUGUGGCUCCUAGGCCUGGUUUCUGGGCUGUGUGUGCCACUGACAUACAAACAGUCAGCCUUGUGGACAGCCUCCGUACAGCCCCCAGAUUAUAAUACACUCUCUGGACUCGGCUCUUGUCCUUACUUCAGUGUCAUGAAACACUGCAGGUACAUCUGCUGCAGGUGGUCAUUAUACUGUGCGUAUGAAUGUUAUUGGAUUGGGGUGAAGCUUUCAAGUGUUGCCUGGGUGCAUCAUCUCAGGGAUUGGUCGCGAUUGUCUGAAUUUGAUGACAGGUUUGUUAAAAGUGUUCAUUGAAUGUACAAUCCGUGGAAACCCUCCCACUGGAGACAUCUUUCAGGAUCACUUCUUAAUGUUUUAUUUGUGUCAUUUUUGUUACUCUCACAAUUUGCAAAACGUGCAAGGGCAGGAAUUAGAGUAGGGACCCACCUAGCUGUGCUUUACAAUGGAAAUGGCAGAGCUGGAAUUUAGAUUUAAUCCAGGCCUUGCUACAUAUUCGAAAGAGACUCCAGUCGACAAAGCAUUUUCUUCUGUUUACUUCAUAGUUUUUCCCUCUGAGGUCAUGAUUAUUCUUAGCAGAUGGUAAGGUAUCGUAUUGAGUUGACCUUUUGAUGCCAUUGGAAACUCAUCCGUAAAUAUGACCACGCAUUAUAUCUGAAUACAAUAAAAGACACUAAACCACAUUUCCACUGUCAUACCCGUACGUAUGGGGUAGGUUCAGGUUGGAUACAUUUCCACUGCGUCAACAUCGGGAGAACACUUCCACAUCUCUUAUGUGUUUAUGAGCUGCUGCUUUGCAAAAAAUACUUUCUUUGAAUCUUCAGAAUAGACGCCCAAGAUGAUUAAAUGUGUUUUGCCCAGUUACACCCUGGAGUGAUUAGAGCAUACUUGAAUACCAAGCGCUGCUCAUAAGCAUAUUGCACAUCGGAAGGAGUUGCCCAUGACUAGAAAGAAUAAUGUCGACGUCACAAGCUGCUGUUAUCAGGACACUGCUCGUGAAUAGUUUGUUGAUUGCUGGCUCAAUGUUUUUAUCAUAUCUCCCAUCUGCAGCACCACAUGCUAUCUGUAUUUCUAAACUAUUGUGCUAUUUGCAGGUGUAUAGCCCUGCAACACUGGAUAUUCUGGAUGUUUCUGUGUUUCCCAGAGUACACCUGGGUAUCACUUUGAGACACAUCUUUGCGCAACAUUUUGGCUUUGACCAGCUGAUAAAAUGAAUAAUUGUCUUGGUCUGUAUGCUGUUCAAUGUGAAAAGCAAAGAACACCUUAAACAUUAAGCUCAUGUCUGGCUUGAAAAUGCCUUCAGACAUUUUUUUAAAGGUACGUGCAUCUGAAAAUCUUGUAAUCUUCUAUAGUAGGAUAGAAAACAAUUAGAGGUAGAAAGUAUGAACACAUAACUAAGAUUAUAUUGAACAAGAUUGACUUUUCAUUCCUUUUGAAUGUAACUUUUUAUUGUACAUUUGAGAUUGGGUUCUAACAGUAAAUGAAGGGGAUUAUUGGGCGUGCAUAAUUUUUAUUGAAUUGAUGAAUGGAAGCAAUAAUUGUGGUGUAUAAUGUUUACUGUGUUGAACAUACAGUAAGUCAGUAGUACCAAAUGGUAAUGUAUGGCAUUUUAUUUUUUUAAACAAAUAUAGUAUGGUUAAACCUUAUAAACAUUUCCCGUAGGAAAGUGUAAUAAAGCACAGUGAAAGCAUGGCAAAUCACAGAGGAACAUGGUGAAGCAUAUCACAGUAACAUGGCCAACCAUCGUAAUCCCAUGGCAAAUGCAUAGCAUAGCCAUAGCAAAUGCAUGAUUAAGUGUAAAAAUACCAUGGCAAACCUUUAGAAGAGUAACCAUGAUAGAAGUGUUGUAUUACAUGACUGUACUGAUUUUAACAUGGCAAAUUGAUCCUGAAAUGAAAGCAACGGCAUGCAUUGCUGAUUUAGAUGCAACAGGGCCUUGACAAGUAUUUUUGUGUGUGAGCACUGAUUACACACAUAGAUUACAGUCCUCUAUUUUAAUAUUUUACGAAAUGCCUUCGUUUACAGUUUUGCAAUGCUACAGAUGCACAGGAAAACAGAAUGCAAUUGGAGGUUGAGGUUUGCACACAGCAUGUCUCUCUCUCUCUCUGGUGUUCUGAUGAUAGGAGAUUGGCCAAGGUGAUAACUGACUGGAAAUCUGCGACUGUAGAAAUGAUUGCGCCAUUCAUGUGUCAUUUUUGUAUGGGUUAAAUACCUUUUAAUUUGAACUGUGUGCUUUUUAUAUUAUGAUGAUAAUAAAGGAAAUCAUUUUAAAACUGA